GGCUGGUUAGCUCAGUCGGUUGAGCGUGGCGCUAACAUCGCCAAGGUACGCAGGUUCGAUUCCCGUUCAGUCC
rnacentral:tRNA from 1 species